rnacentral:rRNA from 1 species
UACGUAGGGUGCAAGCGUUGCCCGGAAUUACUGGGCAUAAAGGGUGCGUAGGCGGCUUGUUAAGUCAGGGGUGAAAUCCCACGGCCCAACCGUGGAACUGCCUUUGAUACUGGCGAGCUUGAGUGCGUGAGGGGUAACCGGAACGAGUAGUGUAGCGGUGAAAUGCGUAGAUAUUACUCGGAAGGCCAAAGGCGAAGGCAGGUUACUGGUACGCAACUGACGCUGAUGCACGAAAGCGUGGGGAGCAAACAGG